rnacentral:rRNA from 1 species
AGUGAACGCUGGCGGUAGGCCUAACACAUGCAAGUCGAACGGCAGCACAGGAGAGCUUGCUCUCUGGGUGGCGAGUGGCGGACGGGUGAGGAAUACAUCGGAAUCUACUUUUUCGUGGGGGAUAACGUAGGGAAACUUACGCUAAUACCGCAUACGACCUACGGGUGAAAGCAGGGGACCUUCGGGCCUUGCGCGAUUGAAUGAGCCGAUGUCGGAUUAGCUAGUUGGCGGGGUAAAGGCGCACCAAGGCGACGAUCCGUAGCUGGUCUGAGAGGAUGAUCAGCCACACUGGAACUGCGACACGGUCCAGACUACUACGGGAGGCAGCAGUGGGGAAUAUUGGACAAUGGGCGCAAGCCUGAUCCAGCCAUACCGCGUGGGUGAAGAAGGCCUUCGGGUUGUAAAGCCCUUUUGUUGGGAAAGAAAUCCAGCUGGCUAAUACCCGGUUGGGAUGACGGUACCCAAAGAAUAAGCACCGGCUAACUUCGUGCCAGCCGCCGCCGUAA